CGGGACGGGUGAGUAACGCGUGGAGAACCUGCCGUAUACUGGGGGAUAACACUUAGAAAUAGGUGCUAAUACCGCAUAAGCGCACAGCUUCGCAUGAAGCAGUGUGAAAAACUCCGGUGGUAUACGAUGGAUCCGCGUCUGAUUAGCUGGUUGGCGGGGUAACAGCCCACCAAGGCGACGAUCAGUAGCCGACCUGAGAGGGUGACCGGCCACAUUGGGACUGAGACACGGCCCAAACUCCUACGGGAGGCAGCAG
rnacentral:rRNA from 1 species